GACGAACGCUGGCGGCGUGCCUAACACAUGCAAGUCAACUUGACUGAAGGAGCAAUCUGACAGUAGAGUGGCGCAAGGGUGCGUAACGCGUAAGUAACUUGCCCAAGGUAAGGAAUAACGUCGAGGAAAUCGGCGCUAAUACCUCAUAAUGCAGCGGAUCCGCAUGGAUAUGUUGUUAAAGGUUUACCGCCUUGGGAUAGGCUUGCGUCUGAUUAGCUAGUUGGUGUGGUAACGGCACACCAAGGCUACGAUCAGUAACUGGUCUGAGAGGAUGAUCAGUCACACUGGAACUGAGACACGGUCCAGACUCCUACGGGAGGCAGCAGUGAGGAAUAUUGGGCAAUGCUCGAAAGAGUGACCCAGCAACGCCGCGUGGAGGAUGAAGGUAUUCUAUAUCGUAAACUCCUGUGAGAGCAGACGAAAGACAGAUUAUUAAUCUGGAUGACUGUAUGCUCAGAGGAACGCCCGGCUAACUAC
rnacentral:rRNA from 1 species